rnacentral:rRNA from 1 species
GACGGAGGAUGCAAGCGUUAUCCGGAAUGAUUGGGCGUAAAGCGUCCGCAGGCGGCCGUUCAAGUCUGCUGUCAAAGACCGGGGCUUAACUUCGGAAAGGCAGUGGAAACUGAACAGCUAGAGUAUGGUAGGGGCAGAGGGAAUUCCUGGUGUAGCGGUGAAAUGCGUAGAGAUCAGGAAGAACAUCGGUGGCGAAGGCGCUCUGCUGGACCAUAACUGACACUCAGGGACGAAAGCUAGGGGAGCGAACAGG